rnacentral:misc_RNA from 1 species
UGAACUGCAGCUGGAAGUCAGUGGAAAGUGACGUAGGGAAGUGAGUGGAUCUGUGUAAACAAAGCAGGGAAAUUGUUGAAAAAAACCUUCUUCUGGACACCCAGGGGCCGAAAUGGCGAGGCGGAGGGACUAUUCGUAUAUCAGUCCGUGCGUGAAAUGGACUCUUUUCUUCUUCAACUUCAUCUUUUGGUUGUUUGGGAUGCUGGUGUUGGCCAUAGGGCUGUAUGGAGUGGUGUUCACAGCCCAGGACUUGCAUGGCCUCAAGUCUGUUGAGACAGCCUACAUCAUAAUCACGGAUCUGUCGGGAGUAAUGGUGGUACUCGGCAGCGUCAUUUUCAUCGUGUCCUUCGCAGGAUGCGUAGGGGCUCUGCGUGAGAACCUCUGCCUGCUGAAGUUGUACUUCUGGAGCUUGACGAUCUUCCUGAUUGCCGAGCUGAUGUUUGCCAUUGCCUGCAUCAUUUUCCCAUGGAAAUCUAGGGAGAUUAUUGAACACCUGCUGUCAAAGCGCCUCAUUGAAGAAUACAGAGAGAGUCAAAACACCCAGAACUUUGUCGACUUCCUUCAGACUGAGUUUGGUUGUUGUGGAAUCACAGUAGAAGGUUACUUGGACUGGAACGUAAAUGAAUACUUUAACUGCUCAGAGUCAAGUCCCAGUGCAGAGAAAUGUGGUGUACCACCUUCCUGCUGCCUGAACAGAAAAAAUGUGACACACUUUGACUUCAUGUGUGGAUAUGGUAUGCAAAACAAAAAACCCCACGAAGCCUCGGAAACUAUUUACACUGGAGGGUGUGUGACAUCCAUCAUUCAGUUCCUGGAAUCGAACCUCUAUUGGGCUGCUGGAGUCAUAUUUGGUAUCACCUUGUUCCAGAUGUAUGUGACGCACCAAGCUCGCUCCCUGAUGGACCAGAUUUCCCUACAACGGUCUAGAUGAAGUGGAUGAUGUGCGCAGUAAGAAAAAAUGCCACAGCAAGAAAUGCAAUAACAAAGAUAGACGUGGCAUCCCAUUUUCAUCUUGCGGUCGAUUGAAUAUAACACAUCAGUAGUAAUGUUGAUCCCAAGCACAUUGAUAUGAAUUAUUUUUAAGUGAUCUGAUAUGUGUCAUUUGAAUCAGUGAGAAAGAAAAAUUGUACACUUCAUCCGUUACUGUUGUAUUUCACCUUGAUAUUCUCUUUUAUUUUAUUGUGGCUGUGUUUUAUGACAGGAUAUUUUGUUUGUUAUGUGUGGCUCUAUAUAUAUAUAUAUAUAUAUAUAUAUAUAUAUAUAUAUAUAUAUAUAUAUAUAUAUAUAUAUAUAUAUAUAUAUGUAUGUAUGUAUGUAUAUAUAUUAAAUUGUGGUUGCUUGUAUUGUGGUAAACAUGGAGAACUAAGUAGAUUAUAGAUAUGAGCCAUAUGUAUAGUAGAUAUGGUCAUAUAUAUAUAUUUAUAUAUUAUAUAUACAUAUAUUACUUGAUAAAAAACACACACACACAAAAAAAUAUAUAUAUAUAUAUCUUACAGAACUGAAGAAGAUUAGUUGUGUGUGCUCAAAUUAAAAGUUCUCCCUUUUUGCUGCAAAAGUUUCACAAAUGUCAUUUUUGUAAGGCUUAAAAAGUUGUAUGAUCCAGUUCAUGUGGUUGACGGUAUCCCUAAGCUCCGUUCUGACUUGCUCAUGCUGCAUUUGUGUGUGCUGUCCUGCUUUCAACGGGGAAUGGAUCUCAGGUAUCGAAGACGAAGGGAAGAGGAAAUGGAAGGUCAUGCUUACCUGUUACCCAAACAAUCAUAUUACUACCAAUGAAGAGCCACACAACAGAAAUAAACUGCAUUUUUAGUAUUGGUCCAAGUUUUGGUUAAUGGUCUAACUGGUAAUCCAUUCAGGGUUCAGCAUUCCAUAGGCUUUGUUUGUGAAAAAGAUAAGAAUCACAAUGAGGUCUUUAUAGCAACUUCGGGCAUGGUGAUACUGCAUGUAAGAAAACUGUAAAAUCAUGUUUAACCUUUUUUUUCUCUUCUUUUGUGUUUGUUAACAUUAUUUCUUAUAAUAUAUGCAUUGUGUUGAAAAUUCUCAACCAUCUCAAUACAGAGGACUAUCAUGCUGCAGGGAAAUCCAUAGAUGUUCUCACUCUGAUAUGCAGAAGCCCAUGCCAUGUAGUUUUAACCAAAAGCUGAGAAUAAAUAGAUGAAUGAGUAAAUAGUGAAUGCUAAACCUGGCAUAAUUCUUUUUAUGUUGAUUGAGCUGUUCUCCAGAUGUAUACAUCAUUGGUGCCUUCCGUGUAUAAAUUAACAUACCAUAAUAUCUACAGUUACACAGUAAGUCAGCGACAGAAAAUAACACCAUGGAAAAGUGAUGGAUCUCUUAUUCUGAGUGAGCUCGUGUGCCUGAGCAUUUUGAUCUUGUUUUUAUUUAUUCAUUUUUUAAUAUAUAUCUGUGUGAUGGAAUGAAAUAUAGUUUCUCAUCACUGCAAGGUCUUAGGCUGCAGUGGAUAAUGAAAUGGAGAGUUUGUCUUUCAAUUUUAGUAGGAUAAAAGCUGUUAUAAGAGGCUACUGUUACAUAACUUUAUGACUGUUAGAUAUUUGUGCCUAUUUGUAGUAGAAUUUAAUACUAUUAUAUUUUCUUUCUCUUUUGUGUAAGAGCUUUUAAAGAUAACAUGAAUUAGUGUGUCAUAUCUCAGUGUCAUAGGUUUAUAACAUCAUGUCCUAUAUGCCUACAUCUUUGGAGGCAGUGUUGGGUACAAAUAGAAUAUGGAGACUGAAUAUUUUGUAAAGAAAGAAAUGUUCACCCUUUUCUGAAUAAAUGUGAUUCAUACAAUAAUA